rnacentral:rRNA from 1 species
AUGAACGCUGGCGGCGUGCCUAACACAUGCAAGUCGAGCGAGAUUUAUGCAAGUGGAGACUUCGGUCAAAGCGAACAUAAUGAAAGCGGCGGACGGGUGAGUAACGCGUGAGCAAUCUGCCCCAUACAAAGGGAUACCCACUGGAAACGGUGAUUAAUACCUUAUAAGACCACGAAGUCGCAUGACUACGGGGUCAAAGAUUUAUCGGUAUGGGAUGAGCUCGCGUCUGAUUAGCUAGUUGGUGAGGUAAUGGCUCACCAAGGCGACGAUCAGUAGCCGACCUGAGAGGGUGAACGGCCACACUGGAACUGAGACACGGUCCAGACUCCUACGGGAGGCAGCAGUGGGGAAUAUUGCACAAUGGGCGCAAGCCUGAUGCAGCAACGCCGCGUGAAUGAUGAAGGCCUUCGGGUCGUAAAGUUCUGUCCAAAGGGAAGAAUACAGUGACGGUACCUUUGGAGGAAGCCCCGGCUAACUACGU